rnacentral:rRNA from 1 species
ACACGUAGGGGGCAAGCGUUGUCCGGAAUUACUGGGCGUAAAGGGUGCGUAGGCGGCUCUGCAAGUCAGGUGUGAAAACCAUCGGCUUAACUGAUGGACUGCAUUUGAAACUGUGGGGCUUGAGUGGAGUAGAGGCAGACGGAAUUCCCGGUGUAGCGGUGAAAUGCGUAGAGAUCGGGAAGAACACCAGUGGCGAAGGCGGUUUGCUGGGCUCUAACUGACGCUGAGGCACGAAAGCAUGGGUAGCAAACAGGAUUAGAUACCCUGGUAGUCCAUGCCGUAAACGAUGAUUACUAGGUGUGGGGAGUCUGACCCUCUCCGUGCCGGAGUUAACACAAUAAGUAAUCCACCUGGGAAGUACGACCGCAAGGUUGAA